rnacentral:rRNA from 1 species
ACGAGUGGCGGACGGGUGAGUAACACGUGGGUAACCUGCCCUUAAGUGGGGGAUAACAUUUGGAAACAGAUGCUAAUACCGCAUAAAUCCAAGAACCGCAUGGUUCUUGGCUGAAAGAUGGCGUAAGCUAUCGCUUUUGGAUGGACCCGCGGCGUAUUAGCUAGUUGGUGAGGUAACGGCUCACCAAGGCAAUGAUACGUAGCCGAACUGAGAGGUUGAUCGGCCACAUUGGGACUGAGACACGGCCCAAACUCCUACGGGAGGCAGCAGUAGGGAAUCUUCCACAAUGGACGCAAGUCUGAUGGAGCAACGCCGCGUGAGUGAAGAAGGCUUUCGGGUCGUAAGAUUCUGUUGUUGGAGAAGAAUGGUCGGCAGAGUAACUGUUGUCGGCGUGACGGUAUCCAACCAGAAAGCCACGGCUAACUACGUGCCAGCAGCCGCGGUAAUACGUAGGUGGCAAGCGUUAUCCGGAUUUAUUGGGCGUAAAGCGAGCGCAGGCGGUUUUUUAAGUCUGAUGUGAAAGCCCUCGGCUUAACCGAGGAAGUGCAUCGGAAACUGGGAAACUUGAGUGCAGAAGAGGACAGUGGAACUCCAUGUGUAGCGGUGAAAUGCGUAGAUAUAUGGAAGGACACCAGUGGCGAAGGCGGCUGUCUGGUCUGUAACUGACGCUGAGGCUCGAAAGCAUGGGUAGCGAACAGGAUUAGAUACCCUGGUAGUCCAUGCCGUAAACGAUGAAUGCUAGGUGUUGGAGGGUUUCCGCCCUUCAGUGCCGCAGCUAACGCAUUAAGCAUUCCGCCUGGGGAGUACGACCGCAAGGUUGAAACUCAAAGGAAUUGACGGGGGCCCGCACAAGCGGUGGAGCAUGUGGUUUAAUUCGAAGCAACGCGAAGAACCUUACCAGGUCUUGACAUCUUUUGAUCACCUGAGAGAUCAGGUUUCCCCUUCGGGGGCAAAAUGACAGGUGGUGCAUGGUUGUCGUCAGCUCGUGUCGUGAGAUGUUGGGUUAAGUCCCGCAACGAGCGCAACCCUUAUGACUAGUUGCCAGCAUUUAGUUGGGCACUCUAGUAAGACUGCCGGUGACAAACCGGAGGAAGGUGGGGAUGACGUCAAAUCAUCAUGCCCCUUAUGACCUGGGCUACACACGUGCUACAAUGGAUGGUACAACGAGUUGCGAGACCGCGAGGUCAAGCUAAUCUCUUAAAGCCAUUCUCAGUUCGGACUGUAGGCUGCAACUCGCCUACACGAAGUCGGAAUCGCUAGUAAUCGCGGAUCAGCACGCCGCGGUGAAUACGUUCCCGGGCCUUGUACACACCGCCCGUCACACCAUGAGAGUUUGUAACACCCGAAGCCGGUGGCGUAACCCUUUUAGGGAGCGAGCCGUCUAAGGUGGGACAAAUGAUUAGGGUGAAGUCGUAACAAGGUAGCCGUAGGAGAACC